ACUCAACAGAGUUGUGCAGAGGUCUCUGCUGGGAGAUACACAGAAGGGAAGUAGGUGAAUUCUAUCCAAAAGAGGAUUUGUUCAGGUACCAAAAUUAGUUGUACACCUUCCUUGAGCCUCUCUUGUGGUCGAUAGGCCCAGUGCAACAGGCAGCAGGCUGCUCACUGCAUCAAGCAGGGCCCUGCACACAGCCUUGUCUGUCCCAUCGCACCCUCCCAGCACCCACUGCUCUCCUAGAGAAGUUAUGUUCCCAACGCAGGAUGCAGUGCUGUUGGGGUCAGCAAAAUGUCAUUGCAUGAGUAAGAAUUCAUUUCUCAGCAGCAGCUUUCUGCUUUAGGUGUAUAAACCUGAAUAGAUCCCUACCAUUGUGCUGCUGAUUCAGGAAGCAGGGCUGGGAUUAAAUUAGGCAGUCCUAUAAUUGUACUUCCUGUAGGCAAGGACUGAGCUGAAAUCAGAUUAGAGCUUCUCCAAACAGAUCUUGCUCUGUUUCUUCAAUGAGACCUCCAAACCAAUUUAAACAACCAUUCACAUAGCCUCAUGCAGAAAGGAACUGCUUGCUUUACUCCCAGGAGACCUGCAAGGAUGGAAGGUGUGGAAAUCCAGCCCAUCUUUAUAAAGGGUGUCCACCAAGCAGACAGUCCCACAUCCCUCCUGCCAUGCACGCCCAUGUUGAUUCCUUGUGCUGUCCUGUGCAGCAGAGAGGAAAGGAAACUUGGAAGAAAGCUGUGGAGGCCGGAGCAGAGAGAUGUGGCUGGGAUGAGGACCUGGGGACAGCCCUGACACCACGUCCCUGGGAAAUGGCAUUCCUGCUCCAGGCCAAGAGCCAGAGCUGGGGAUGCACUGUCUCUUACACAAGCUGGCUUUGCAAAGCAGAAAGAAAUAAGAAACAGUCAUGCAUGAGAAAGGCCAGAGAGGUUUAAUUGGAAAAGACAACACGUAAUGUAAGUUACUUAAAGUUUCCAUUUGAACAAGAGCCACAGUGAAGAGAAACCCAGCAGUAAUUGCACAGAGAGGAAACGUUGACCUGCAGCACUUCUGGCCAUCCCCAUGGUUUCUUUCCCCUGCUGGCUUUUCAUGCUGCUUUUCACCCUUCCCUCCAGCACCGUCCUCCGACAGCACUGCAGGGGCUGCUCACAGCCGGGUUGCUGCAAACUUCUAUAAACCAAAUUAUUUUCCAUUUUCAUAGGUGAUAAACAGAAUAAGCAAUGCUUUAUGGAGCAGUGGGGCUGAGCCAGGGAAGUUCUGCUGGUAAUGGGCAGAAAGAGCGAGCAGGUCAGGAGCAGCCCAGCUCCCCAAGCAGCUGGGGAGCACCAAUUUUCACGGCUUCCUGCAGAAAAGUCUCUCCCAGGGACCCCAUGUUCUGUGUGGGUCACACCAUCACUGGGUGCUGCUGAGCCAGGAGUCAGCUGCUCCUCAGGGGGCACAGAUCAGGGCAACAAAUUACAGAAGUAAAUCUCACACCAGAAAGUAAGCAGUAAUGGGGAUUCUAACCCACCAGGAUACAGCAAUAGGCUUCGUUACCCAAAGCACAAGCCAUGCAAUUAAAAACUGACAAAAAUUAGUUGAUGAUUCAGUCACUUCCAAGCUCAAGGUGCCCUUCAACCCCUCAGUCUCCUUACCAGCAACAAACCAAUGCAGAACAGAACUUCUGAUCCUGAGUCUUGUAUUAGGCCAAAUAACAAAAGGGGUUUUAUCAUAGCUCUAAUCUUUUUCCAAUAUACAGACAUAUUGAAAGAGAUUACCUUACUGAAAUUGAAGGAAACUGUGGUAUUUUAAAACCUUAAUCCCCUUUCUCCUCUGUAGGAAAUAAGAUAAAUUUCUUGAUUUCAUUCUGUACAAUUACAAGAAGCUUUUCUUUUAUCAAAAGUUCUCCUUUUUCUCUGGCAAGGUAUUUUUGGAGCUGUGCACCAGGCUUCAGCCCACUGUAUGUGUACUUAUGGGCAAGACAGGCAAGUUUUGACUGAAGGAAGACCUCACCAACACAGUCAUCAGCAUACUUAAGAAGCAUCCCAGCAGGAGCUGGUCUGUACUGUAAGUGACAGCUGGAGGAUCUACAGCUGGCGUCCUAAGGCUCCAGAGCCUGUACUUGCUCGCCAGCACAGCAAAAUGUCUGCUGGUGUCAGUAUGCUUCUAAAAUGAUCUAUGGCAAUUCAGCAUGGAACUGCAAACAAUGAAGCAAUGAAGGAAACAGCAGAACGAAUCCAAAUUAUCCAUUUUGAGGCUAAUGACCUUCUAGUGAAGAUGAUGCACUGUGUCAAAGCUCUGAUCCAUAUUGCUGGACCACUAAAAUUCCCAGGCAGUUCUUGCCAGGCAGAAUUUCUGACCAUAAUGGUCUGAUUAUGGUUUCACCAACAGCAGGCAUGCCUGACCAACUAGUGGCCUUCUGUGAUGGAGUGACAGCAGCAAUGGACAAAGGAAAGGCAACUGAUGUCAUGUACCUGGACUUGUUCAUGGCCUUUGACAUGAUCCUGCAUCACAUCCUUAUCUCCAAAUUGAAGAGAGACGGAUCUGAAGGCUGGAUAUUCAGUGGAUGAAGAAUUGGUUAGAUGAUCAUAGCCAGAAGGUUGUUGUCAAUGACUCUAUGUCCAGGUGGAGGCCGGUCAUGAAUGGUGCCCCCCAGGGUUCCAUUCUGGAACAGAAGGAAGGGAUGCCAUCCAGAGGGACCUGGACAUACUCAAGAAGUGGAAAUGUGAGAAUCUAAUGAGAUUUAAUAAUGUCAAGUGCAAAGUGUUGCACAUGGGUUGAGGUAAUCCUAGAUAUGAGUAAGAGUGGAAAAGGAACUCCUUGAGAGCAGCCCUGCAGACAAUGACUUGGGGUUCCUGAUGGGUAAAAGCUGGAAGGCCAAAAGUACCCUGGGUUGCAUUAACAGAGGGGAGGCAGCAGGGAGACAGAGGGAUUGUCCCCCUGUGCUCUGCCCUUGUGAGUCUCCAUCUGGAGUACAGGGUCCAUACCUGGGGCCCUCAGCAGAAGAAAUGGAGCUGUUGGACUGGGUCCAGAGAAGAGCCACGAAGAUGGUCAGAUGGCUGGAACCCUUUGAAGAAAGAUUGAGAGAGUUGGGCUUCUUUAGCUUGGAGAAGAGAAGGCUCCCCAGAGACCUUGUUGUGAUCUUCCAGUACUUGAAGGGAGCUUAUAAGGAGAGGGGGGACCAAGUUUUUACACAGUCUGAUAGUGAUAAGACAAGGAAAAAUGGCUUUGAACUAGAAGAGGGGAGAUUUAGGUUAGAUGUUUAGAAAGAAAUGUUUGAGUCAGAGAGCGGUGAGGUGCUGGAACCAUCUGCCCACAGAAGCUGCGGAUGCCCCAUCUCUGGAGGCAUUAAAGGCCAGGUGGGAUGGGACCCUGGGCAGCCCGGGGUGGUGGUUGGCAACCCUGCCCAUGGCAGGAGGGUUGGAACAAGAUAAUCUUUGAGAUCUCCUCUAACCUAAGCUAUUCCAUUCCACGGUUCUAUUACUCUAUGAUGAUUUUCUGUAAAUAACUGUAUAGCUUUGGGCAGUAAUACUCUGCCACUGAAAUUCUUUCCCCAGUGAUCCUUGAGUGAUAAGAAAAAAAUCACAGAACAUCUACAGAAAAAUCUGUUCAAUAUCUGUAAAGGGAAAAAACCUUUCAGAAAGAUAUUCAUGGUGUAGUUAGUGCUAAAAUAAAAACUCAGUUUUAAGCCAAGGCCUUGCAUCCUUUGUGUUCAAAAAAUGCCACGAAAGAUUCAUAUCCACUUCGCUUUGAAACUUGGUCAAAACAAGCUAAGAAGACAUGUUUGUAAUUCAUGCUUUUUUAUCCAAAUACUUUUUUCAGGAUUUUGUGCCCUUGCUGGUUCUGUUUGUAAGUGUAUGGGAACUGUUGAGUCAUGGCCUGAACCGCUGAUUGAGCACCUGGGGAAAGGACCCAGUCAGCCCUGGGAGCACAGGUGAAGGCAAUUCAGCUGCAUGACCCGAAGGGCUGCAGCCCAGCUGCACCUCUCUUAGACCUCAUUUAAGGGCUGACUGCCACUGGGGAAGGAUUUCUUUCUGCAGAUCUCUCCUUGGUGAAGCUUUCCCCUGCAAACCUAGAAUCUUCUGAUACAGGUGAGAGAUCUCUCCUUGGUGAAGCUUUCCCCUGCAAACCUAGAAUCUUCUGAUACAGCAGCCACCGCUGUUCCAUGGGGAAAGGUGGUAGUGAAGGCGUUCGCUCCCCGCUGAAGCUCAACACACCUUUUUGACACCAAAGGAUGGCCCUGAGCCGGGGAAGAGGUGGGCGAGUAGUGAGGAGGGGCUGCGCUUCCAGGCUGCGGUCUGCAGGCUGUCCAGGUGCCAGGGCCCAGCGUGCAGCUGCUUGGGCUGUGCGGGAGCAGCCGCAGCACAGGGCUGUCCCAUCCUGACUGCUUUGCUCUGUCUCAGGAAUUCCGUGGUCUGUGUGGCUGCCUUAAUGCCUAAGGAAGGAUAAGAGAUAAGAGGAACAGGAGGAGGCAGGACAGCGGAAUUUUACCUGUAAGCACAGCAGUGAAGACUCUGUACUGGCAGCCUGGCAGGCAGGAGGGCUCCAGGACCUAUAUGACAAUUCAGGGCAGCCUCUUUAAUUUAUUCUUGUUUCAUUGCUUCUGGAAGUAAUGCAACGCAGUCAGCCCAUCCACCCACAUGAACACCGAAGCCUCUGUACCAGUGUCUCCUCUGCUCCUGGCCAGGAAAGGGAGAGGAGGGAGGAAGAGCUCCUGCCAACACCUUACAGACUAGAAGCAGCAGCGCAGUGCUACAAUCCCUGUGCACACCUGCUCUGCGUCAGACCCAGUGGGGCAGGAGCAAGGUGAGCCGUGCUUCCCUACAGCCAAGAAGGAUUUCUUUUUAUUCCAGUGCAGCUGCAAGCCAGGGAGCUGCUACAGUUCUGCAAAAUGAGGAGCCAAGCAUUGCAGCACCUGUUCAGAUUUACCGACUCCAUCACUCACAUUGCCCACAGGGGCCAAUAAGGCUCCGCAGCCAUGCUCCAGCACUGAGUGCUGGCUGCGCAGUGAUUUACUGUGCUCUUCUCCCCGUGCCUUGUGCACCUUCAGAGUGCUGACAUGAGUGUGUUUGAUUGGGUUACUUAUUAAUUCUGUAUUUAUGAGGACAAUGAAAUUCCAGUCCCCAAAGCUGCACGCUGCUUUUCUUCCCCCCUUAUCUUGUUUCUCUUGGCUCUUCUAAAAGGAAAAUCAGGAUUUGCUUUAGUUUGGAGAAAUGACAUUGGCAUCAGCCCUGUCUGAGAAGGCCUCUUUGUGCUGGAAAAUGAGUAAAUAAACCACUCGCGUUAGCUCUCCCAGGAGAGAUCAACCCUGCUCUGUGCUACACAUUGCACCUCUGGAUGGAGAUGGGGAAUACAAAUACCAAAGGGACGUACUUGACCCAGACGUUCCAGAGUUUGUCUGCUCUGAUCAUCGCUCAAUUCUACUUCACCUUCUCUGCUGUGACAAAAUAUCAGAACGUGAUUUAUCCAGGAAUUCAAGCACUGCUGAGCUGUGUUCCAAUCCCCUUGUGCAGUACAAGAGUUUAAUGAUUCCCAAAGGGUAUGAGCUUGUUGCUUUGCGUUAACCAAAUGUCUAUGCACAACAAAAGAUAUGCAAGCAAUAUGUUUAAAAAAGGAAGCAGCAUUUUUCAGGUAAUUAUGGCAUUUUGUUUUCACUCUGGUGGUGCACAGGACUCCUGAACACGUGCUGGAGUUGUCCAGAAAGCCUUAUGUACUGCUGUGAAUUAUUCUGCUUAUUUUUGCAUUAUGUUAGCUGAGAGCUCAUUGUAAAUUCACUUGUUAGUCAGAAAGAUCCCCAAAUCCUUUCCGCACACAAUAUUUCAUACCACAGCCUCUUAGAACUGUGAAUUGCAAAUUCAUUUGUAUAUUUAUGCUCAUAGAUAAAUAGAAAUUCAUAUUUAUAUAUUACACAAUUUGUGCUGCAACCAAAGAAACAAACCUCUGCAUAUGACACGCGAGUUGCAAUCUCAGCCUUUGAAAAUUGAAUAGGGUAUGAAUUUCAGAUAGCAUCCACACCUGCAAAUUUCGAUUUGCUAUUUGCAUGUGUCCUGCCUAGAUUGCAAUUGAUAGUACACAUCAGAAGUGAAAUAGGUGGAUCCGAAGGGCCAAAAGUACAUGUUCUGGCAGUUCCUCUGCUUACAGAAAGCAAGUUUUAAAAACAGGAAAGCGAAAAUCUUCUUCACAGCUGAAUGAAUAUUUAAUACUACCACUCCUGCCUAUGGUACAGGCAGAUCCAGCUCUAAUUAAUCUUAUCUCCUGCCUCUUCAUGACAUCUUCCAACCAUACUUUGCACUACAUCUUACCCUGCUCAAAUAAUGGGUAUCUCCAUCACUUCAUGUAGAGUUCAAGAGCAAAAUUGGUGAUGGGAAAUCCUUUCCUCAUCUCUUGCUUCAGGGUUUAGGGAGAAAAGAGGGUGGCUGCUGGGGUUUCCCUCCCAUUGUGGCAAGGCAGUUGAGCUGCAGGCAGCCUGCCCAUCCCACUGGACAUGCAAUGGGCUCCAGGUGUGCUGUGCAAAGCCUCUCCCUGUCUGCUUGUCCAGAACACCACAGUCUUCACAGAUCAAUUGAAAAAUAAAGAAAGGAUGAGGGCUCCUCCCAACUGGCCUGUCUGUGUGUGCUGAGGGGGUCUGCCUCUUCUCACCACUGCUGUUUAUUGUGCUCUGCUCCUCCUCUUUUUCUUUUUUCCCCCAUUCUUAAUACAACCAUGAGAAAUCCCAAUAUGAGAACAUUAGAAUAUUCUGGCUCUGAAGUUAUAAAAAAAAAAAUGAAGAAAUGGUUUCCUCUCUGGAAGGCGCUCACAGGUCAGACAUCCAAGAGAGAAAGCCUGAAAUUUACCUUUAAUGAAGACAAGUGUAGUGUUGGCAAUUGGAGAAGCACCAGUGAGUUGGUCGUAGGCAAAGGAAGAAUAGUUUGGACAGACAGAGCUGAAGAAUAGUCCAAAUAUUAUCAAGAUUGGAUGUGGGGAGGGGAUAGAAAUCCAAGUCCUGUUCCACCACUCCUGAAUCCUAUUGAGGCUGAGAGAUUCAGUCAGCUUAACUCAGAACUGCAGACCUUUAGAGUGGAAGCCCACCCUGCAUUCAGCACAAGGACUCUCCAUGCUCUUCCUGCCGGGGUACAAGACACAGCUGCAGCAUCCCUCUUGCACAACUUCCCCCAAUGUGCAGAAGCUCUUAGUCAGGAGAAAACAACUCUGAGUUUGGAAGAGUGUUAACCAAGCCCAGUCCCCAAGCUUCUUCACAGCUGGGUUAGUAUGAGGCUAGCCCAUAGGUUUAAGGUAUUGUAGUUACUGGGCACAGGAUUUCCAAGCUACAGAGCAAAUGUGAGUUACAUCUUGAGAGGACCUGCCUUCCAUCUGAGCUGAGUCCAAACUGUUCUGCAUUUAAUAGAGAAGCACCAAAGAAUUCAAAAUUCCACAAGUGAGAUUAAGCCCAGAAACUACAAUUAGUCACCUUUCCUUUAAUCCCUACGCCUCCAUCACCAGCAGUGCAAUAUCCACACAGAAGAGGAAGUCAUGCUUUUCUCAUCUGCUACAAAGCCAAGAAAAAUAGAAAGUAAUUGUGUCUGAAGUGCCGGAGUGCAGAAGUGUUGCUCAGCAGCCCUGGGUGCCUUUCCCUGCAAGAGGAGUGACACAGAAAGGCAGGAGGGAAUAUAGCUUGUGCAUGCAGUGAGCUGAAGAGAGAGGACCCACUCUUAUCUGUACAAUAACUCAUACAAGCUAGAAACGAAGAAGAUGCCGUAUACAGAGUUAGUUCUCAUGGAGCAUUUUAUAGUGUUUAUCACAUCUACAUUGACAGGAUUGCAGCAAGGCAGGGCAGCUGGUCACGCAGUCCUCAGACUCAUUAUUUAUUUCCACGGAGGACUUGUUUGCAGGAGCCACAUGUUACAAACGUGAGGGGGGAUCUGGAAAUGGGAGUACUUUCACAAUAAGUAUCUUGCUGCAGCACUUAAUAGCCCAAACAGACACCACUCGCUCUUUCUCUGUGCUUAGGCCAGUGGGCUGACCAGGUAAACACUAAAAUCAUGGAACCUCAGAAUUUUCUGAAUUGGAAGAACACGCAAAGAUCAUCAAAUCCAACUCCUGGCUGCACGUAGGACCACCUAAAACUCAAACCAUAUUUCUGAGCAUCUUCUAAAUACUCCUUGAACUCUGGAAGGAUUGAGGUCAUGGCCACUGCCCUGGGGAGGCUGUCACAGCAUGGAGCCCUCCACCACCGGUGGCCCUUUUCUCUUCCCUGCAUGCAGCCACAUUCCCAGUGCUUGUUUCUGCAGCUCCCAGCCUCCUCCUGCAGCUGAGCAGCAUCCGCCUCAUCUGACACAAGCUCAGCAUUGUGUUGUGUCCUGCAUCCAUCACAGGCAGAGGACUCUGGGACCUUAGCCCUUGAACAACUUUUACUCAGCAGAAGAUAUAUAGUUUUUAAUGUCCUUCAUAAUGUGAAAAGCAUGAGAGGCCUGUCUCAGGGUUGUGGAAAGCCCUGCCCUGUCUCCCAUCCAUUACACAGCCCAGGACUCUUUCCAAAACUUACAGAAGGGAGCUGGGUGCAAACCAGACACAAACCAACAGAUCAGGCACAGCUGGAAGUAUGAUUUUUUUCUCCAGACGGGUUCAGCUCUGAACACAAACAGUUACCAAGCCCUUAGCUGCAAGUAUGGAGCCAUGAAUCCAUGUACCACCAGAACCACAUAGCUCUCAGGCAGUUACACAGAAACACCUGCAGAUUUUCUUUCAGAGAAUAGAGCUCAUUCUGAUAUUUUGGAGAUAACUGCUCUUCCCUGCCUUCCUCAGUGCUCUGCCUCCACUGCUCCGUGUGGAGAAGGCAGCAAAGGAUGUGGCCCAGCACAGAGCCCGCUGCCAUCCCAACCACACGCAGUCCUCUUGCAAAAAGCACUGUGGAUGUACAGCAUGUGUGGAUGUAAAGGAUGGAUGUGUGAGGUGUGGGGGCUUCACACUCCCUAGGAUUCCACAGUGACAUCCUUUGCCUUUCAUCACUUCAGGAGCAGCAGCACCAGCCGGUGGGUCUACAAAGGCAGAAUCUGAGGAGAAGUGGCAAUGAGAGCACCUCGGUCCCUCUGCUAGAGCAAAGGGAGGGCAGCCUCCUGCAGGGUGCUCCCUUCUUCUCAGAAAAAGCAAUAGGACUUCCAGCAUGCAUGCACAACUACUGCCUCCUCCCAGCUGUUUCCUGAACACGCCUCUGAAGAAACUGUGCACUCCAGUAGAUAUCUGGGCACAUACAAACACUGGUCAUUGGAGCACCCUAAGGACUUCUGUGCACUUCUCCUGCUCCCUCCUUUUUGAACAGUUAACCCAUAAGCUAUUUCAAAUGCAAUGCAAAAAUAAUCCCUUAAGAAAACUCAUGAGAAGUUCUCUUCCCAGUGACUC